rnacentral:rRNA from 1 species
CGCUGGCGGCGUGCUUAACACAUGCAAGUCGAACGGGAUCCAUCAGCUUGCUUGGCUGGUGAGAGUGGCGAAACGGGUGAGUAAUGCGUGACCGACCUGCCCCAUACACCGGAAAUAGCUCCUGGNAAACGGGUGGUAAUGCCGGAUGCUCCGACUCCUCGCAUGGGGUGUCGGGAAAGAUUUCAUCGGUAUGGGAUGGGGUCGCGUCCUAUCAGGUAGUCGGCGGGGUAACGGCCCACCGAGCCUACGACGGGUAGCCGGCCUGAGAGGGCGACCGGCCACAUUGGGACUGAGAUACGGCCCAGACUCCUACGGGAGGCAGCAGUGGGGAAUAUUGCACAAUGGGCGCAAGCCUGAUGCAGCGACGCCGCGUGCGGGAUGACGGCCUUCGGGUUGUAAACCGCUUUUGAUCGGGAGCAAGCCUUCGGGUGAGUGUACCUUUCGAAUAAGCACCGGCUAACUACGUGCCAGCAGCCGCGG